GGAUAUGUGGCUCAGUGGUAGAGCUCGUGCCUUAUAUGUACAAGGUCCUAGAUUUAAUCCCCAGCACCACCA
rnacentral:tRNA from 1 species